rnacentral:lncRNA from 11 species
CGCUGAUUGGUCACUCGGUUGUGUUCUAACGGAACAGGGAGGGAGGCACAGAACUCAGCCCUUGAGGGCGGCUCUGAUAGGCUAGAAGGCUCCGUUCUAAAAGGCGGAGCCUGCAUAUUAAGGAACCGCCGCGGGCGGUGAUUGGCUAAGACGCGCUGCUGGCUAAGUAGCGCCUGGAGGUUCAUUCAAGUCGGAUCCGAGGAUGGUCGCCGGGGUCUCUGGAGUGUUUUUCCGCCGGCUGGGAGCGUUAAGCGGAGGGGCUGCGGUGGGAGCGGCCGCCUAUGGAGCGCACGGUUUCCGAAGGAGCGACCGAGAUGAUUACUUAAAAGAGGUAAGACUAUUCCUUCUUCUUUUCUUUCUUUUUGGCACUUCUGCUUCCAGUUUCUCCAGCUGAACUGGUUUGAACUUAGGGUUGAG